CCUUGUCCCAGCAGCCGCGGUAAUACGAAGGGUGCAAGCGUUACUCGGAAUUACUGGGCGUAAAGCGUGCGUAGGCGGUCUGUUAAGUCUGCUGUGAAAUCCCCGGGCUCAACCUGGGAAUGGCAGUGGAAACUGGCGGGCUAGAGUACGGUAGAGGAUGGUGGAAUUCCCGGUGUAGCGGUGAAAUGCGUAGAGAUCGGGAGGAACACCAGUGGCGAAGGCGGCCAUCUGGACCAGUACUGACGCUGAGGCACGAAAGCGUGGGGAGCAGACAGGAUUAGAUACCCUGGUAGUCCACGCCCUAAACGAUGCGAACUGGACGUUGGGCACACUUAGGUGCUCAGUGUCGAAGCUAACGCGUUAAGUUCGCCGCCUGGGGAGUACGGUCGCAAGACUGAAACUCAAAGGAAUUGACGGGGGCCCGCACAAGCGGUGGAGUAUGUGGUUUAAUUCGAUGCAACGCGAAGAACCUUACCUGGCCUUGACAUGUCCGGAAUCCUGCAGAGAUGCGGGAGUGCCUUCGGGAAUCGGAACACAGGUGCUGCAUGGCUGUCGUCAGCUCGUGUCGUGAGAUGUUGGGUUAAGUCCCGCAACGAGCGCAACCCUUGUCCUUAGUUGCCAGCACGUAAUGGUGGGAACUCUAAGGAGA
rnacentral:rRNA from 1 species